UCAAAAGUGCUUCUUGCCCCCAGACCUGUUAAGACCAGUUAAGCUGAUUAUUUAAAAAGAUUUAUUUUAUUUGUUUUAAUGGCAAAAUUAGAGAGAGAGAGAGAGAGAGUCUUCCAUAGGCUGGGUCACUCCAAAUGGCUGCGAUGGUUGGCACUCAGCCAGGCAGAAGCCAGGAGCCAGGAACUCCAUCCGGGUCUCCCACGUGGGUUGCAGGAGUCCAAGUGCUUGGGCCAUCUUCCACUGCGCGUUAGCAGGAAGCUGGAUCAUGCGUGGAGAAGCUGGAGACUCGAACAAGUGCGCCUAUGGAAUGUUGGCAUUGCAGGGGGUGGCUUACUUUACCAGCUAUGCCACAACACGGGCCCAAGCUGGUUUAUUUCGUUGUUUUGUUUGUUUGUUUUGGUAAAUGAUAUUCACCCAUGGAAUAGAGUAAUCGCAGGCAAGUUGAAUUCCUGGAGAGUGGAAGCUUGAAGGUGGUCAAAAGGGGGACGGGUAUUCUUGGAGGAGGGAACACAUUCUGCAAAGCGUCUUAGGCAGAACAAGACUUUCUUUGUGGCACUUAAGGAAUGCCAUGUGCUGUGGCUUCAGCUUCCUGUGGGAAAGCAGGAAGACGUGAGGCUGAAAUGGAGAGCGGAUCUGAGCAGGAGGAGGGUUACCUCCCUAAUACGCACCUGUUCUCCAGGAGUAGAAUCUCCCUUUGGAGUCUUUGGAGGAGACCUUCAUGAUGGUUAAUCCAAGGCGGCGCCUUGCUGACGUCAUGGUUAACCAGUUUCUGCUGGAGAAAGCACUUACAGGCAUGAGCCAAGUCAACAGAUUGUGCACAAUGCAAAAUACAGGAGGUCCUGUUCAUUGCACGUGGAGCUUCCUCCCUAGCAAGAACCACAGCUGCGGCUGGGGCUUCCUGCCCACAUUCCAGCAGACCUUGCCCUGCAGGGGCUGCGAUCCAGCUGACCGGAAGCACUCGGGUAUGAGCAACUUCCGGCUCAGCCCCCAGCUGAUGAUGAGGGGGAGUUACUGCAGAACACUCCCUGGUCCCCCUCGCAUAGGGGCUUCACCCCGAGGUAGCUGCUUCCUAGAGAUGUCUCAGAAACAUUGCGCCUUAGAUGCCGGUGCAGUCACCCACAGCCUGACGUCAGCCCAAGUUGGGGAGCGUUCCUUCCAGAUCCUGGGACAGUACCUGAGGACGCUGGCAUGACAGCCCAGGUCUUUCCUUUGGCUGCCUCGCAUUGAAGCCCUGCCGGACCUGAUACCCACUGCCUCUGCAGCCUGGCCUUUCAAUGCUAGGUCCUUCUCAGUGCCAGUCUGAAAGCAAAACACAGUCGUGCCCAAACACGAUAUGCUUGUUUGUUGAGAAACGUGUACUCAGAGGACGAUUAUCUUCCCUGAGUAACAGCUGAAUGUGAGUAGACAGAAGCCCUCAAACCAUCGAGAUAGUUCCCCCGUGAGAUAUCAUCGGUGUGCUCUUCAUUUUCCAAACAUGGAAAUUGCUUCAACGUUUCUGAUUGUGAAAGUAAUACAGAUUUAUUGUGGUAAGUUCAGAAAGAAAAAUAAGGCAGCAUGAAAUUAAAAUCAUGAAUAUCCAUCAGCCAGAGAAUUCACAAUUUUCACUUUGAAAUAUAAUUUCUGAGGUAUUUUACUAAGCAAACAUUUACACACACAUUGUACACACACAACUCCAUUUGCUGUGAUUUAAAAAAAAUUCAUGUAUUACUCAAGUUGGAUAAGUUUUACUGCAGCAAUAAAUUAACUGUAGAUUCUCA
rnacentral:lncRNA from 1 species